UAAUACGUAGGGGGCAAGCGUUGUCCGGAAUUAUUGGGCGUAAAGCGCGCGCAGGCGGCUAUUUAAGUCUGGUGUUUAAACCUUGGGCUCAACCUGAGGUCGCACUGGAAACUGGGUGGCUUGAGUACAGAAGAGGAAAGUGGAAUUCCACGUGUAGCGGUGAAAUGCGUAGAUAUGUGGAGGAACACCAGUGGCGAAGGCGACUUUCUGGGCUGUAACUGACGCUGAGGCGCGAAAGCGUGGGGAGCAAACAGGAUU
rnacentral:rRNA from 1 species